CCGUGCUAGAUGGGGAGCUAGCGGUUCCCUGUAACCUGCAACCCGCUAUAGCAGGAUCGAUCGCUUUUUAGAGGGACCACAGACCAUUAGCCUUAUCUAUGCAAGUGGUGAUGAAGGCUGGAUCUCAUGCAAUAGGAGAUGAUGUGAACCUGGUCAGAUGCGGAAGCAAGCAGCCAUAAACAUUCAUCCUUAUGUGCCGUGACAAAUCUGGUCUGAGCUUACUGCAUAGACAAACUAAUGGAAAUGGGAACGAAGAAAAGUGCACGG
rnacentral:SRP_RNA from 3 species